rnacentral:rRNA from 1 species
UGGCUCACGUUGAACGCUAGCGGCAGGCUUAACACAUGCAAGUCGAGGGGCAGCGGGGAGGAAGCUUGCUUUCUCCGCCGGCGACCGGCGCACGGGUGAGUAACACGUAUGCAACCUGCCCCUGUCAGGGGGACAACCCGCCGAAAGGCGGGCUAAACCCGCGUACAUGCCACCGGGGCAUCCCGGAGGCAGGAAAGGCUUCGGCCGGACAGGGAUGGGCAUGCGGCGCAUUAGGCAGUAGGCGGGGUAACGGCCCACCUAACCGACGAUGCGUAGGGGUUCUGAGAGGAAGGUCCCCCACACUGGUACUGAGACACGGACCAGACUCCUACGGGAGGCAGCAGUGAGGAAUAUUGGUCAAUGGUCGGGAGACUGAACCAGCCAAGCCGCGUGAGGGAUGAAGGUACAGAGUAUCGUACACCUCUUUUGUCAGGGAACAAAGGCGGGGACGUGUCCCCGGAUGAGUGUACCUGAAGAAAAAGCAUCGGCUAACUCCGUGCCAGCAGCCGCGGUAAUAAGGAGGGUGAGAGCGUUAUCCGGAUUUAUUGGGUUGAAAGGGUGCGCAGGCGGUCUGUUAAGUCAGCGGUCAAAGCCCGGGGCUCAACCCCGGCCCGCCGUUGAAACUGGCAGUCUCGAGUUGGAGAGUAGUAUGCGGAAUGCGCGGUGUAGCGGUGAAAUGCAUAGAUAUCGCGCAGAACUCCGAUUGCGAAGGCAGCAUGCCGGCUCCACACUGACGCUGAGGCACGAAAGCGUGGGUAUCGAACAGGAUUAGAUACCCUGGUAGUCCACGCAGUAAACGAUGAAUGCUGGCGGUCCGGGGGGGAUUGACCCCUGGGUGGCGAAGCGAAAGCGAUAAGCAUUCCACCUGGGGAGUACGCCGGCAACGGUGAAACUCAAAGGAAUUGACGGGGGCCCGCACAAGCGGAGGAACAUGUGGUUUAAUUCGAUGAUACGCGAGGAACCUUACCCGGGCUCAAACGGGGAGUGACUCAGGCAGAGACGCCUGUUUCCCACGGGACACUCCCCGAGGUGCUGCAUGGUUGUCGUCAGCUCGUGCCGUGAGGUGUCGGCUUAAGUGCCAUAACGAGCGCAACCCCCGCGUGCAGUUGCUAACAGAUAACGCUGAGGACUCUGCACGGACUGCCGGCGCAAGCCGCGAGGAAGGCGGGGAUGACGUCAAAUCAGCACGGCCCUUACGUCCGGGGCGACACACGUGUUACAAUUGGUGGUACAGCGGGAAGCCAGGCGGCGACGCCGAGCGGAACCCGAAAUCCACUCUCAGUUCGGAUCGGAGUCUGCAACCCGACUCCGUGAAGCUGGAUUCGCUAGUAAUCGCGCAUCAGCCAUGGCGCGGUGAAUACGUUCCCGGGCCUUGUACACACCGCCCGUCAAGCCAUGGGAGCCGAGGGCGCUUGAAGUGCGUCGCCGCGAGGCGCGCCCUAGAGCGAAAUCGGUGACUGGGGCUAAGUCGUAACAAGGUAACCG